rnacentral:rRNA from 1 species
UACGUAGGGGGCUAGCGUUGUCCGGAAUUAUUGGGCGUAAAGAGCUCGUAGGCGGUUUGUCGCGUCGGCUGUGAAAACCUACAGCUUAACUGUGGGCUUGCAGUCGAUACGGGCAGACUUGAGUUCGGUAGGGGAGACUGGAAUUCCUGGUGUAGCGGUGAAAUGCGCAGAUAUCAGGAGGAACACCAGUGGCGAAGGCGGCUCACUGGCCCGGUACUGACGCUGAGGUGCGAAAGCGUGGGGAGCAAACAGG